AACGAACGCUGGCGGCAUGCCUAACACAUGCAAGUCGAACGAAGGCUUCGGCCUUAGUGGCGCACGGGUGCGUAACGCGUGGGAACCUGCCCCUCGGUUCGGAAUAACAGUUAGAAAUGACUGCUAAUACCGGAUGAUGACUUCGGUCCAAAGAUUUAUCGCCGAGGGAUGGGCCCGCGUAGGAUUAGCUAGUUGGUGGGGUAAAGGCCUACCAAGGCGACGAUCCUUAGCUGGUCUGAGAGGAUGAUCAGCCACACUGGGACUGAGACACGGCCCAGACUCCUACGGGAGGCAGCAGUGGGGAAUAUAGGACAAUGGGCGAAAGCCUGAUCCAGCAAUGCCGCGUGAGUGAUGAAGGCCUUAGGGUUGUAAAGCUCUUUUACCAGGGAUGAUAAUGACAGUACCUGGAGAAUAAGCUCCGGCUAACUCCGUG
rnacentral:rRNA from 1 species